UUAAGUUAUUAAGGGCGCACGGUGGAUGCCUUGGCACUAGAAGCCGAUGAAGGACGUUACUAACGACGAUAUGCUUUGGGGAGCUGUAAGUAAGCUUUGAUCCAGAGAUUUCCGAAUGGGGAAACCCAGCAUGAGUUAUGUCAUGUUAUCGAUAUGUGAAUACAUAGCAUAUCAGAAGGCACACCCGGAGAACUGAAACAUCUUAGUACCCGGAGGAAGAGAAAGAAAAUUCGAUUCCCUUAGUAGCGGCGAGCGAAACGGGAAGAGCCCAAACCAACAAGCUUGCUUGUUGGGGUUGUAGGACACUCUAUACGGAGUUACAAAGGACGACAUUAGACGAAUCAUCUGGAAAGAUGAAUCAAAGAAGGUAAUAAUCCUGUAGUCGAAAAUGUUGUCUCUCUUGAGUGGAUCCUGAGUACGACGGAGCACGUGAAAUUCCGUCGGAAUCUGGGAGGACCAUCUCCUAAGGCUAAAUACUCUCUAGUGACCGAUAGUGAACCAGUACCGUGAGGGAAAGGUGAAAAGCACCCCGGAAGGGGAGUGAAAUAGAACCUGAAACCGUGUGCUUACAAGUAGUCAGAGCCCGUUAAUGGGUGAUGGCGUGCCUUUUGUAGAAUGAACCGGCGAGUUACGAUUUGAUGCAAGGUUAAGCAGUAAAUGUGGAGCCGUAGCGAAAGCGAGUCUGAAUAGGGCGUUUAGUAUUUGGUCGUAGACCCGAAACCAGGUGAUCUACCCUUGGUCAGGUUGAAGUUCAGGUAACACUGAAUGGAGGACCGAACCGACUUACGUUGAAAAGUGAGCGGAUGAACUGAGGGUAGCGGAGAAAUUCCAAUCGAACCUGGAGAUAGCUGGUUCUCUCCGAAAUAGCUUUAGGGCUAGCCUCAAGUGAUGAUUAUUGGAGGUAGAGCACUGUUUGGACGAGGGGCCCCUCUCGGGUUACCGAAUUCAGACAAACUCCGAAUGCCAAUUAAUUUAACUUGGGAGUCAGAACAUGGGUGAUAAGGUCCGUGUUCGAAAGGGAAACAGCCCAGACCACCAGCUAAGGUCCCAAAAUAUAUGUUAAGUGGAAAAGGAUGUGGCGUUGCCCAGACAACUAGGAUGUUGGCUUAGAAGCAGCCAUCAUUUAAAGAGUGCGUAAUAGCUCACUAGUCGAGUGACACUGCGCCGAAAAUGUACCGGGGCUAAACAUAUUACCGAAGCUGUGGAUUGUCCUUUGGACAAUGGUAGGAGAGCGUUCUAAGGGCGUUGAAGCAUGAUCGUAAGGACAUGUGGAGCGCUUAGAAGUGAGAAUGCCGGUGUGAGUAGCGAAAGACGGGUGAGAAUCCCGUCCACCGAUUGACUAAGGUUUCCAGAGGAAGGCUCGUCCGCUCUGGGUUAGUCGGGUCCUAAGCUGAGGCCGACAGGCGUAGGCGAUGGAUAACAGGUUGAUAUUCCUGUACCACCUAUAAUCGUUUUAAUCNAUGGGGGGACGCAGUAGGAUAGGCGAAGCGUGCGAUUGGAUUGCACGUCUAAGCAGUAAGGCUGAGUAUUAGGCAAAUCCGGUACUCGUUAAGGCUGAGCUGUGAUGGGGAGAAGACAUUGAGUCUUCGAGUCGUUGAUUUCACACUGCCGAGAAAAGCCUCUAGAUAGAAAAUAGGUGCCCGUACCGCAAACCGACACAGGUAGUCAAGAUGAGAAUUCUAAGGUGAGCGAGCGAACUCUCGUUAAGGAACUCGGCAAAAUGACCCCGUAACUUCGGGAGAAGGGGUGCUCUUUAGGGUUAACGCCCAGAAGAGCCGCAGUGAAUAGGCCCAAGCGACUGUUUAUCAAAAACACAGGUCUCUGCUAAACCGUAAGGUGAUGUAUAGGGGCUGACGCCUGCCCGGUGCUGGAAGGUUAAGAGGAGUGGUUAGCUUCUGCGAAGCUACGAAUCGAAGCCCCAGUAAACGGCGGCCGUAACUAUAACGGUCCUAAGGUAGCGAAAUUCCUUGUCGGGUAAGUUCCGACCCGCACGAAAGGCGUAACGAUUUGGGCACUGUCUCAACGAGAGACUCGGUGAAAUCAUAGUACCUGUGAAGAUGCAGGUUACCCGCGACAGGACGGAAAGACCCCGUGGAGCUUUACUGUAGCCUGAUAUUGAAAUUCGGCACAGCUUGUACAGGAUAGGUAGGAGCCUUUGAAACGUGAGCGCUAGCUUACGUGGAGGCGCUGGUGGGAUACUACCCUAGCUGUGUUGGCUUUCUAACCCGCACCACUUAUCGUGGUGGGAGACAGUGUCAGGCGGGCAGUUUGACUGGGGCGGUCGCCUCCUAAAAGGUAACGGAGGCGCUCAAAGGUUCCCUCAGAAUGGUUGGAAAUCAUUCAUAGAGUGUAAAGGCAUAAGGGAGCUUGACUGCGAGACCUACAAGUCGAGCAGGGUCGAAAGACGGACUUAGUGAUCCGGUGGUUCCGCAUGGAAGGGCCAUCGCUCAACGGAUAAAAGCUACCCCGGGGAUAACAGGCUUAUCUCCCCCAAGAGUUCACAUCGACGGGGAGGUUUGGCACCUCGAUGUCGGCUCAUCGCAUCCUGGGGCUGUAGUCGGUCCCAAGGGUUGGGCUGUUCGCCCAUUAAAGCGGUACGCGAGCUGGGUUCAGAACGUCGUGAGACAGUUCGGUCCCUAUCCGUCGUGGGCGUAGGAAAUUUGAGAGGAGCUGUCCUUAGUACGAGAGGACCGGGAUGGACAUACCUCUGGUGUACCAGUUGUCGUGCCAACGGCAUAGCUGGGUAGCUAUGUGUGGACGGGAUAAGUGCUGAAAGCAUCUAAGCAUGAAGCCCCCCUCAAGAUGAGAUUUCCCAACUUCGGUUAUAAGAUCCCUCAAAGAUGAUGAGGUUAAUAGGUUCGAGGUGGAAGCAUGGUGACAUGUGGAGCUGACGAAUACUAAUCGAUCGAAGACUUAAUCAA
rnacentral:rRNA from 1 species